UACAGAGGUCCCGAGCGUUGUUCGGAUUCACUGGGCGUAAAGGGCGCGUAGGCGGCCCGCUAAGUCGAACGUGAAAUCCCCGAGCUCAACUCGGGAACUGCGUCCGAUACUGGCGGGCUUGAAUCCGGGAGAGGGAUGCGGAAUUCCAGGUGUAGCGGUGAAAUGCGUAGAUAUCUGGAGGAACACCGGUGGCGAAGGCGGCAUCCUGGACCGGUAUUGACGCUGAGGCGCGAAAGCUAGGGGAGCAAACGGG
rnacentral:rRNA from 1 species